GGGGAGAAAUUCCAAUCGAACCCGGAGAUAGCUGGUUCUCCUCGAAAUAGCUUUAGGGCUAGCCUCGUUUUAGUCUUAUGGAGGUAGAGCACUGAAUUUCCGCGGGGGCGUCAAAGCUUACCAAAGAAUAUCAAACUCCGAAUGCCAUGUAGAUGAUGAACGGGAGUCAGACUGCACGAGAUAAGUUGGGCAGUCAAAAGGGAAAGAGCCCAGACCGCCAGCCAAGGUCCCAAAGUGUGUGUUAAGUGGAAAAGGAUGUGGGAUCUCCAAGACAACUAGGAUGUUGGCUCAGAAGCAGCCACACAUUCAAAGAGUGCGUAACAGCUCACUAGUCGAGAGGUCCUGCGCCGAAAAUGUCCGGGGCUGAAACACAACACCGAAGCUGCGGAAUUGCGAAUGCAAUUGGUAGAGGAGCAUUCUUAAUACCGACGAAGCUGUACCGGAAGGAGCAGUGGAGGGAUAAGAAGAGAGAAUGCCGGAAUGAGUAGCGAGAGAGAGGUGGGAAUCCUCUCGGCCGAAUAUCCAAGGUUUCCAGAGUAAAGCUGAUCUGCUCUGGGUAAGUCGGGGCCUAAGGCGAGGUCAAGAGACGUAGCCGAUGGACAACAGGUUUAGAUUCCUGUACCGCAUAUAAACAGAACUGUGGGGACGCAUGGGGAGAGCAUGGGCCGGGAAUGGAAAUACCGGUGCAAGCGAAGGAGGUGUGCAGCCGGCAAAUCCGCUGCAUGAGCCGAAAGCGUGACGCGGAGCGAAAUGAAAGUAGCGAAGCAUGUGAGCCCUGUGCCGAGAAAAGCCGCUAUUGUUUUAUAUGUGCCCGUACCGUAAACCGACACAGGUGGAUGAGGAGAGAAUCCUAAGGCCGGCGGAAGAAGUAUUGUUAAGGAACUCGGCAAAAUGACCCCGUAACUUCGGGAGAAGGGGUGCCCACGGGAGUGGGCCGCAGAGAAUAGGCUCAAGCAACUGUUUAGCAAAAACACAGGUCUAUGCGAAACCGAAAGGUGAAGUAUAUGGGCUGACGCCUGCCCGGUGCUGGAAGGUUAAGAGGAGAGGUUAGCGCAAGCGAAGCUUUGAAUUUAAGCCCCAGUAAACGGCGGCCGUAACUAUAACGGUCCUAAGGUAGCGAAAUUCCUUGUCGGGUAAGUUCCGACCCGCACGAAAGGCGUAAUGAUUUGAGCACUGUCUCGACAAUACAUCCGGUGAAAUUGAAGUACCAGUGAAGAUGCUGGUUACCCGCGCCAGGACGGAAAGACCCCAUGGAGCUUUACUCCAGUUUGGUACUGGGAUUCGGUACUGCACGUACAGGAUAGGUGGGAGACUUUGAAACUUGAACGCCAGUUUGAGUGGAGUCGCUGUUGGGAUACCACCCCUGCAGUAUUGGGUUUCUAACCAGUCACCGUGAUCCGGUGAUGGGACAAUGCCAGGCGGGGAGUUUGACUGGGGCGGUCGCCUCCGAAAGGGUAUCGGAGGCGCUCAAAGGUUCCCUCAGAAUGGUCGGAAACCAUUUGAAGAGUGCAAAGGCAGAAGGGAGCUUGACUGCGACACCGACGGGUGGAGCAGGUAGGAAACUAGGACUUAGUGAUCCGGUGGCAUAAAGUGGGAUUGCCAUCGCUCAACGGAUAAAAGCUACCCUGGGGAUAACAGGCUUAUCACUCCCAAGAGUUCACAUC
rnacentral:rRNA from 1 species